GACGAACGCUGGCGGCGUGCUUAACACAUGCAAGUCGAACGGUGAAGCGCCUUCCUUUCUGGUGGGUGUGGAUGAGUGGCGAACGGGUGAGUAACACGUGAGUAACCUGCCCCCUUCUUCUGGAUAACCGCAUGAAAGUGUGGCUAAUACGGGAUAUUCUGGGUCUGUCGCAUGAUGGGUCUGGGAAAGAUAUUGUUUCGGUGGGGGAUGGGCUCGCGGCCUAUCAGCUUGUUGGUGGGGUGAUGGCCCACCAAGGCGGUGACGGGUAGCCGGCCUGAGAGGGUGGACGGUCACACUGGGACUGAGACACGGCCCAGACUCCUACGGGAGGCAGCAGUGGGGAAUAUUGCACAAUGGGCGCAAGCCUGAUGCAGCGACGCCGCGUGAGGGAUGGAGGCCUUCGGGUUGUGAACCUCUUUCGCCAGUGAAGCAGGCCUGCCUCGUUUGUGGGUGGGUUGACGGUAGCUGGAGAAGAAGCGCCGGCUAACUACGUG
rnacentral:rRNA from 1 species